rnacentral:rRNA from 1 species
GACGAACGCUGGCGGCGUGCUUAACACAUGCAAGUCGAACGCUGAAGCUCAGCUUUUGUUGGGUGGAUGAGUGGCGAACGGGUGAGUAACACGUGAGUAACCUGCCCCCUUCUUUGGGAUAACGCCCGGAAACGGGUGCUAAUACUGGAUAUUCACUGGUCUUCGCAUGGGGGUUGGUGGAAAGGGUUUUUCUGGUGGGGGAUGGGCUCGCGGCCUAUCAGCUUGUUGGUGGGGUGAUGGCCUACCAAGGCUUUGACGGGUAGCCGGCCUGAGAGGGUGACCGGUCACAGUGGGACUGAGAUACGGCCCAGACUACUACGGGAGGCAGCAGUGGGGAAUAUUGCACAAUGGGCGCAAGCCUGAUGCAGCGACGCCGCGUGAGGGAUGGAGGCCUUCGGGUUGUGAACCUCUUUCGCUCAUGGUCAAGCCGCAACAAUGGUUGUGGUGAGGGUAGUGGGUAAAGAAGCGCCGGCUAACUACGUG